GGACAGCCAGCCGGUCACCCUGUCCAGGGCAGCUCAUGAUCUCGCGGAGGCCAGCACCUGGCACGGCACGCCUUCGUACAGCCAGCUGGUCACCCUGUCCAGGGCAGCUCCUGAUCUCGUGGAGGCCAGCAGGUCGUACG
rnacentral:lncRNA from 1 species